CAGCCGCCGCGGUAAUACCGGCGGCCCGAGUGGCGGCCACUAUUAUUGGGCCUAAAGCGUCCGUAGCCGGGCUGGUAAGUCCCCCGGGAAAUCUGGCGGCUUAACCGUCAGAAUUCCGGGGGAUACUGCCAGCCUAGGGACCGGGAGAGGCCGGGGGUAUUCCCGGGGUAGGGGUGAAAUCCUGUAAUCCCGGGAGGACCACCUGUGGCGAAGGCGCCCGGCUGGAACGGGUCCGACGGUGAGGGACGAAGGCCAGGGGAGCGAACCGGAUUAGAUACCCGGGUAGUCCUGGCUGUAAAGGAUGCGGGCUAGGUGUCGGGUGAGCUUCGGGCUCGCCCGGUGCCGUAGGGAAGCCGUUAAGCCCGCCGCCUGGGGAGUACGGCCGCAAGGCUGAAACUUAAAGGAAUUGGCGGG
rnacentral:rRNA from 1 species